GUGCCAGCAGCUGCGGUAAUACGUAGGUGGCAAGCGUUAUCCGGAAUUAUUGGGCGUAAAGCGCGCGCAGGUGGUUUCUUAAGUCUGAUGUGAAAGCCCACGGCUCAACCGUGGAGGGUCAUUGGAAACUGGGAGACUUGAGUGCAGAAGAGGAAAGUGGAAUUCCAUGUGUAGCGGUAGAAAUGCGUAGAGAUAUGGAGGACACCAGUGGCGAAGGCGACUUUCUGGUCUGUAACUGAC
rnacentral:rRNA from 1 species